UUAGACAGCUGUGACCCACUGAAAUAGCACAGACUCCAAAGAACUGACCUAGCCCAAAGGACGGACAAUGAAGAGACACAGGGUUUUAAAAUAUAUCCAGUGGAAUCCUUUCAUACCACUGUGGCUGUGGAGCAGAUCUAAUGCCCAACACUAUGUUAAAUACGAAUAAACUCUUCUAGCUGUCCCUCAGACUUUCAGCAAGAGAAGAAGGGGAUCUCCUUCCACUCCCAGAAGCAAUGGUGACUCCUCACACAUGGCAACAAGCUUAUAUACUUGCUUAGGUGAAUCUGAGUUUGGAUAAAAUAAAAGAAUAUAAAUGAAGAAUUUUCUAUGUAAAUGUUAACUAUUUUUAUCAUCCCAAGUCUAUAGCUAGCAAUCCAGAGAUAGAUGUUCCCAGACUUAGUUUCCUGAUUCAUGAGUUGGAGAAGUACAGAGUUCCUAGGUACUAAAUAGUAGUACAAAUACUUUUACCAGGUAUAAAAACUGCAGAAAAUGACUUUUGGCCAAAAGAUUUGACCCUUGAGUGAUUUACUUGGGCAGCAGCAGCCCCACAAAAUAUUUCAAGUUUGUUUUGUUGUUGUUGUUUGUUUUUUUAAGUAUCAAGCUCCUAAGAAAAGCAUAAUGUGUGAUAGGGCUCCUGUAUCAUGUUUUAAAUAUGUAAUCUCUUGACACUGAAUGGGAGAAUAUUGGAGAACACAUAUCAUCCAACUAUUCUUAUAUGGCAACUCAUAAAACUAUCAGGCUGAUACUUAUAAAAAUGUCUCAUGUGCCUAUCAUCAGCAUAGUGGACUACAGAUUGUUUCCAACAUAUUUAUUUUUAUUUAAAAUGUAUUUAAUAUGUUUAGAAGAAUUACACAUGGUUAACCAAUAUUGGAUACAUUGCUGUCUGAGGGAAAGGAGAGAGAAGGAGAAAGGGAGAAAAAUUUGGAACACAAGGUUUUGCAAGGUGAAUGUUGAAAACUAUCUUUGCAUGUAUUUUGAAAAAUAAAAAGCUAUUAUAAAAAUAAAUUAAAAUGUGUCGAUAGCUUUUUAAAGAAUAAAGCAUAUUUAGGCAGAUUUCUCCUUGAGAUGAUCACAUCUAAUUAAUCAUAGUUUAAACAUUUAUUUUGCUUUGGUUUUAUCCUAGAAGUUAUUGAUCCAACCAUAUUAAACUCAAUUUAAUUUUAG